GUGGGGAGCAACAGGAUUAGAUACCCUGGUAGUCCACGCUGUAAACGAUGUCGAUUGGAGGUUGUUCCCUUGGGAGUGGCUUUCGGAGCUAACGCGGUAAAUCGACCGCCUGGGGAGUACGGCCGCAAGGUUAAAACUCAAAUGAAUUGACGGGGGCCCGCACAAGCGGUGGAGCAUGUGGUUUAAUUCGAUGCAACGCGAAGAACCUUACCUACUCUUGACAUCCAGAGAAUUUAGCAGAGAUGCUUUAGUGCCUUCGGGAACUCUGAGACAGGUGCUGCAUGGCUGUCGUCAGCUCGUGUUGUGAAAUGUUGGGUUAAGUCCCGCAACGAGCGCAACCCUUAUCCUUUGUUGCCAGCACAUUAUGGUGGGAACUCAAAGGAGACUGCCGGUGAUAAACCGGAGGAAGGUGGGGAUGACGUCAAGUCAUCAUGGCCCUUACGAGUAGGGCUACACACGUGCUACAAUGGCGUAUACAAAGAGAAGCGACCUCGCGAGAGCAAGCGGAACUCAUAAAGUACGUCGUAGUCCGGAUUGGAGUCUGCAACUCGACUCCAUGAAGUCGGAAUCGCUAGUAAUCGUAGAUCAGAAUGCUACGGUGAAUACGUUCCCGGGCCUUGUACACACCGCCCGUCACACCAUGGGAGUGGGUUGCAAAAGAAGUAGGUAGCUUAACCUUCGGGAGGGCGCUUACCACUUUGUGAUUCAUGACUGGGGUGAAGUCGUAACAAGGUAACCA
rnacentral:rRNA from 1 species